UUUUUUUUUUUUAGUUUCAACAUAUAAGCAUUACGAUAUUUGUCUUUCUCUGACUUCACUUAUAUGAUAAUCUGUAGGUCCAUCCAUGUUGUUGCAAAUGGUAUUAUUUCAUUCUUUUUUAUGUCUGAGUAAUAUUCCAUUGUAUAAAUGUAUGACUUUUUUUAAACCAUUCUUCUGUCAGUGAACAUUUCAGUUGCUUCCAUGUCUUGACUAUUGUAAAUAGUGCUGCUAUGAACAUUGAGGUGCAUGUAUCUCUUUGAAUAAGAGUUUUCACUGGAUAUAUGCCCAGAUGUGUGAUUGCAGGAUCAUAUGAUAACUCUAUUUUUAGUUUUUUAAGAAACUUCCAUACCGUUCUCUAUCUAAAAAUUUACAUUCCCACCAACAUUGUUUGAGGGUUCCCUUUUCUCCACACCCUCUCCAGCAUCUCUGCAAACCACUGCUUAUGCUAUUUCUAUCUAUAUUCCAAGGAAAGAGUCAUUUCCUCUGUCAAGGCUGACUGCCACUCAGGUCUGGGUUAGAGGCUUUCUUACUGCACCCUAAUCAUAGCACCAAGUCUGUCUCUCCUGCUAGUCUUUAAACUAAUUAGACUUUACAUUCCUCAAGGGUAGACACAGAUCUGUCUAACUCCUCGCUAUAUUUCUAGAACCUUACACAAUGCUGUUAAAGAGUGGGCACUAAUAAAUAUUUUGUUAAAUGAAUGAAUAUAUGCAUGAAUUGCUUUUCCCCUCAUGAGAAUUUCUCUACACCACGGAUCAUGGCUGCUUUGUCAAUGGUUUCCAGCAUCAAUUGCUCCAAUUUGACUUAUUUUGUUCCUAGAAAACUUUUCCUAUGCUUUAUUAUUUAUAAUCACAUUAAUGAUUUAUUUCAGAAUCUAUGUAGCAUAAAAAAUGAUACAUGCUAAAUGAAAUCUGGCAAGUCUUUUUUUUUUUUUUUUUUUCACCCUCAGGAAGGAAAUGAGGAUGAUAAAUACAUUUAAAAUCCACCCUGUGGGGAUGGAAUGAAGAACUUUCAGCCAGUGUUAGAAUUGUCCUUUUGAUUUUAAAUCCCCGUAUCAACAGAGAUGAUCAUUUUAAGUCUCCCUUGGGUCUGAGCUUCAGGGGAGAGUGCGUAGAGGAGAACUUUUCUGAUUCCAAAUGAAAAGAUACACAAACACUACCAACGUCAAGGCACUUCAGAAAUAAAAGAAUGAAGCUUUCACCACAGAAGAGUAAUGCCAAGGAAGAAAAAGAAAGGCCAAGUCAUAUUUUCUAGCCAGCGUGACCUUCCCUUCAUGUUUGUACCAACAAGAGCUGCCUCCUGGUCCAGAGUUUACAUAAAGAUGAGAGACAACUAGACUGACACCAGGGCUCGGUGCUGGCCCCACACAGGCCUGACAGCCAGCAGGUAACCGGCACCUGGACAGGGCUCCCCACAGGCCACUGGGGGUUAUAAUCAGCUUCUCUCAGCCGGCAGAUUUUGAACAGUGGGUAUGUUCCAAAUGUGUCAGGGCCUAUUUUUCAAACAUCACUGCAGAUUCAUUUGUUAUGUCUUGCCUUUUUUUAGACCUUGACAAUAAAGGGACAUUUUUAACCAAGGAAGGGAAAAGAGAAUCUCGUGUACACUGAUGUUUUAUGACAUGCUAGGAUCCACAGUGAGAUUAACCUAUUUCUUUGAGAUCUUUGGGGUGAUGUUAUCUGCGACUCCUUCUUCUUUUCCUUUCUGGGACUGCAAUUAUAUCUCCAAAGGGGGAGGAUUCAAACUAACCUUUCAUGUUUAUGUGCUCUGAAUUCUGACAUAUUUAAAAGUGUGUACCUUAAAGUGGAUGUUGAGGAAAUACAGGGAUCUGUACUCUGCUCCAGAUGUUUGUGUGUGUGUGUGUGUCUGUCCAACUUAGACUAUAAAUACCACAAGCAUGAGAAUCUUAUCUUUGCUUUAUUAUUCUCCACAGGACAGUGAAUGCUUGAUACUUAACAGAUUUUCACACACACAUUAAAAAAAAAAAAACUCUAAUGUAUUUCUUGCGUGUUUACUGGAGCCUGUACUUCCCCAUGGAAGAUAGUUAAGGAACAGAGUUUGGGGCAUUAACAGAAACUCUUUUGUGUUUCAUGUAUUUCCUAGGCGGCAACUAGUGAUAUAUAAUUUUCCCAGAGCUGCUGUAACAAAUCACCACAAACUUUGUGGUCUGAAUUUGCAGUAAUUUACUUUCUCACUGUUCUGGAAACCAGAAGUCCAAAAUCAGUUUCACUGGGCCAGAAUUAGGGUGGGAGAACCACAGUCCCUUCAGAGGCUUGAGGGGAGAAUCUGCUCCUUGCUCCUUCCAGCACCCAGUAGCUGCUGGCAUACCUUGGCUUGUGGCUCCAUCACUCUAAAUCCUGCCUCCUCAGUCACAUUGCCUUUUCUUCUUUCUGCAUCAAGUUUCGCCUCAGGCUCUCACUUGUAAGCACUCUUGUGAUUGUAUUUCAUAUCCCUUUGGAUAAUCUGUGAUAAUCUUCCCAUCUCAAAUACCUCAAUUUGACCGUAUCUGAAAAUUCUAUUUUUGCCAGAUAAGUGAACAUUCAUAGUUUCCAGGGAUUAAAAUAGAUGGAUAUAGGGGGCUAUAUUUAGCCUACCAUAAGUGGUGAAUGCAUUGCUUUCUUGGAAACACAUUUCUUCUGGUGUACAGGGGAAAUCAAAGGUGAGAGGUGUAAACUGUAACAGAAAGAACCAUUCUAAAAAAAAAACUUAUGCUGACUCUGUGAUUCAGAAGUCAAGGCAGAAAGAGGCGGUUCUGUAAAGUUUGGAUCUUGGAACACUUUUCCAUAAAAACAAUGAAGCUUAAGACAGUCUUGAUAGCAGUGAACGACAUAAAGAUAAUUCAGUGUAACUGAGGCAACUUGAGGUUUACUUUUAUCUUCUUAAAAUCUACUCUAUGGAAAUCAUAGGAAAAGUAAAACUCAAAAUAUGUGUGCAAAGAUGUUUUUUGGCAACAUUAUAUAUCAUAGCAUGACAAAAAGUUUUGAGGAUGAGUUCUCUUGUAGCACAGUGGGAAUCCAGCACUGUCAUUGCCCUGGCUUGGGUUGCUGCUGUGGGGCUGAUUUGACUCCUGCAGCCAC
rnacentral:lncRNA from 1 species